GUACCAGAGAAGCCUGGCUGCAAUGUUUUUAUAAAUUGAGACUUUAUUGAAGCUAUUGUAAGGAAAUGAGUUUGAAAAUUGUUAGUGUCUCAACCUCUUACUAACUGAACCCAAUUUUUGUGCUCAAAGAUCUGACUCUCAAAUACUAGUAUAGUUCCUCAACUAAUGACUGUCACAUUUCAUUAAAUGAUUAUGUACUCUUUUUCUGUAUUAGAACAGAUUUGUUUAUUAAUGGACAAACUAUUCGAGAGAAAAGGAUUAUAGAAGCAGCAAAGAGAAAUGAAACUGACUAUGAAGUAGGUGAUAUCCCAACAGAAUGGGAAGCUUGGAUUAGAAGAAAAAGAAAUACUCCACCUACCAUGGAGGUAAGAAUACACAAGGAGAACAUCCAGGAAAUACUAAAGAAUGAAAAGUACAGAGAAGAAAUAAAGAUGAAAAGCAAAGGUUUUUAUGAAAAAGAAAAGCUCCUUAGUAAAGAGACCAGUGAGGAACUCUUGCCUCCACCUGUUCAGAUUCAAAUUAAAGGGCACGCCUCUGCACCAUACUUUGGAAAAGAAGAACCCUCAGCGACACCCACCAGCACUGGGAAAACCUUCCAGCCAGGGUCCUGGGUGCCACAAGAUGAAAAGAGCCACAACCAAUGAACUGCAUUAUGGUGAAAAUCAUUUCACUCGCACAGAUAUGACUAUUUUAACAAAUAAAAGAAGUUCAAAACUGAA